UAAAACUCUAUUCCUCAGAGUUCUCUGACUUCUCUCUACAAAUUCUCUCUGCUGAGUUUUCUAUUCGACGAUCAGGAAGUGCCUAGGCGAUCCUGGCGUUUGACCGAUCAAUUUCUCGUUCUUCAGCUGGUUUCUGUUGAGUUUCCUUGCGCGGUUGAAGCGUUUCUGUGAGCUGAUUUUAUGUCUCUGAGAUUAGAAUUUGUUUGAGAUGGAUGUUGCUUGCGGAAUUGCCGGAUUCAAGUAUGAUUGCUUGCUUUUCGGACCAACAGUGCUUUGAACUUUGGAUGGUUUUUCUUGUUUUACUGCUUCACCUAGGAUUCUGUAUCUUAGCUGCAGUUGCUCCUCCCAUAGUUUUCAAAGAAAAAUCCUUGACUGUUGUGUUGUGUUCGUGUGGAAUUGGAAUUUGUGUCCCCUGAGAAUGUUGCAGAAGUAGAAAAACUGGAGUUAGACUUCGUAAUAGUACUCUUAUUUAGAAAUUUAGCCUUUGUCCUGUUAGGCGUUGUCCCUGAAUUCACAAGGCGUUCUUUUUUGGGUUUAUGAAAACAGGUGAAAAAACUGCUCCAUUCCAGGCUAUUCAAAUCUAGUUUCAAGGAGUGAAUUUAAUCCAAAUCUGUUUAAUAGGGGUAGCCACAUUAGGAUAAAACUGUUUUA